GACGAACGCUGGCGGCGUGCUUAACACAUGCAAGUCGAACGAUGAAGAAAAGAAUUGAAGCUUCGGCAGAAUUUCAUUUCGGAUUAGUGCCAGACGGGUGCGUAACGCGUGAGCAACCUACCCCUUACAAAGCGAUAGCUUCGGCCAACUGGGAUUACUACCAUAUAACAUUGCGACGAAACAUUUCGAUUCAAUCAAAGGUACGCCGGUAUGCGCUGGGCUCGCGUCCCAUUAACCCGAUGGUGAGGUAACGGCUCACCAUGGCAACGAUGGGUAGCCGGGCUGAGAGGGUGAACGGUCACACUGGAACUGAGACACGGCCCAGACUCCUACGGGAGGCAGCAGUGGGGAAUAUUGCACAAUGGAGGAAACUCUGAUGCAGCGACGCCGCGUGGGUGAUGAAGGAAUUCGUAUGGUAAACCUCUGUUGUAUGGGAAGAAAAUGACGGUACUAUAGAAGGAAGCGCCGGCUAAAUACGUG
rnacentral:rRNA from 1 species